UCAUUAACUGAAUCCAUAGGUUAAUGAGGCGAACCGGGGGAACUGAAACAUCUAAGUACCCCGAGGAAAAGAAAUCAACCGAGAUUCCCCCAGUAGCGGCGAGCGAACGGGGAGCAGCCCAGAGCCUGAAUCAGUGUGUGUGUUAGUGGAAGCGUCUGGAAAGGCGUGCGAUACAGGGUGACAGCCCCGUACACAAAAAUGCACAUACUGUGAGCUCGAUGAGUAGGGCGGGACACGUGGUAUCCUGUCUGAAUAUGGGGGGACCAUCCUCCAAGGCUAAAUACUCCUGACUGACCGAUAGUGAACCAGUACCGUGAGGGAAAGGCGAAAAGAACCCCGGCGAGGGGAGUGAAAAAGAACCUGAAACCGUGUACGUACAAGCAGUGGGAGCACGCUUAGGCGUGUGACUGCGUACCUUUUGUAUAAUGGGUCAGCGACUUAUAUUCUGUAGCAAGGUUAACCGAAUAGGGGAGCCGAAGGGAAACCGAGUCUUAACUGGGCGUUAAGUUGCAGGGUAUAGACCCGAAACCCGGUGAUCUAGCCAUGGGCAGGUUGAAGGUUGGGUAACACUAACUGGAGGACCGAACCGACUAAUGUUGAAAAAUUAGCGGAUGACUUGUGGCUGGGGGUGAAAGGCCAAUCAAACCGGGAGAUAGCUGGUUCUCCCCGAAAGCUAUUUAGGUAGCGCCUCGUGAAUUCAUCUCCGGGGGUAGAGCACUGUUUCGGCAAGGGGGUCAUCCCGACUUACCAACCCGAUGCAAACUGCGAAUACCGGAGAAUGUUAUCACGGGAGACACACGGCGGGUGCUAACGUCCGUCGUGAAGAGGGAAACAACCCAGACCGCCAGCUAAGGUCCCAAAGUCAUGGUUAAGUGGGAAACGAUGUGGGAAGGCCCAGACAGCCAGGAUGUUGGCUUAGAAGCAGCCAUCAUUUAAAGAAAGCGUAAUAGCUCACUGGUCGAGUCGGCCUGCGCGGAAGAUGUAACGGGGCUAAACCAUGCACCGAAGCUGCGGCAGCGACGCUUAUGCGUUGUUGGGUAGGGGAGCGUUCUGUAAGCCUGCGAAGGUGUGCUGUGAGGCAUGCUGGAGGUAUCAGAAGUGCGAAUGCUGACAUAAGUAACGAUAAAGCGGGUGAAAAGCCCGCUCGCCGGAAGACCAAGGGUUCCUGUCCAACGUUAAUCGGGGCAGGGUGAGUCGACCCCUAAGGCGAGGCCGAAAGGCGUAGUCGAUGGGAAACAGGUUAAUAUUCCUGUACUUGGUGUUACUGCGAAGGGGGGACGGAGAAGGCUAUGUUGGCCGGGCGACGGUUGUCCCGGUUUAAGCGUGUAGGCUGGUUUUCCAGGCAAAUCCGGAAAAUCAAGGCUGAGGCGUGAUGACGAGGCACUACGGUGCUGAAGCAACAAAUGCCCUGCUUCCAGGAAAAGCCUCUAAGCAUCAGGUAACAUCAAAUCGUACCCCAAACCGACACAGGUGGUCAGGUAGAGAAUACCAAGGCGCUUGAGAGAACUCGGGUGAAGGAACUAGGCAAAAUGGUGCCGUAACUUCGGGAGAAGGCACGCUGAUAUGUAGGUGAAGUCCCUCGCGGAUGGAGCUGAAAUCAGUCGAAGAUACCAGCUGGCUGCAACUGUUUAUUAAAAACACAGCACUGUGCAAACACGAAAGUGGACGUAUACGGUGUGACGCCUGCCCGGUGCCGGAAGGUUAAUUGAUGGGGUCAGCGCAAGCGAAGCUCUUGAUCGAAGCCCCGGUAAACGGCGGCCGUAACUAUAACGGUCCUAAGGUAGCGAAAUUCCUUGUCGGGUAAGUUCCGACCUGCACGAAUGGCGUAAUGAUGGCCAGGCUGUCUCCACCCGAGACUCAGUGAAAUUGAACUCGCUGUGAAGAUGCAGUGUACCCGCGGCAAGACGGAAAGACCCCGUGAACCUUUACUAUAGCUUGACACUGAACAUUGAGCCUUGAUGUGUAGGAUAGGUGGGAGGCUUUGAAGUGUGGACGCCAGUCUGCAUGGAGCCG
rnacentral:rRNA from 1 species